CAAGUUCUGCAUGGUCAUUACGAUAGUUCCUGUCUUUCUGCCUGCUCUGCACUGGCAGACACUUUGGCCCAUGCAGAGCCAAAGUGAGUUUGAAAGGACUCUGCACUAGCACAGGAGUCAACACAUGGGGAUCUGACUACAGAAUCAGGGUCACAGCUUUCCUUUCUCUGACUCGGAAUCAGAUUUUCCUCUGUGCUGAAGGCUAGGCAUAUGUUGCUGCAAGGACCCACUCCCUUGUUUCAGUAAAGAGCCUGUAACGUUGCAGAAGCCGGUGUUAAAGAGGAGUAUGCUUGGAAACCAUCAGGGCCCCCAUGCAAAUGUAAGAACAGUCCAUAGCCACAAGUGAGACCUCGUGACUCUAGUUCUUCUGGGCGCUGUAGUGUUUCAACAAGAUACUUCAGCAGAGAGUGGUGGAGAAAGGAAGUGCAGUGGAGAGAAAGAAGAGUCAAUGGGAAGAAAAGGAAUUCUGCAGACGUAGAAUUAAAGGCCAUUUCCCUCUUGUGAAGUUCCUAGUGGGCCACAUGUGCAUAGGAUCUUGAGAUGAAAAAAUCAAAGGAAACUGGUGAAAAGAAAACUAAUUUAAACUUAAUGUUAUCAACUAUAGCUAUAUUAAAUUCAUUCAGGAUGUUGUAGUUGUCACAAACAUAGUUUGGGGUUAUGUUGGGGACAGUGCAAUGGGAAGUGGUCGACAACAUCUUCCCCCCCCUCAUUAGAAGUGUGGCCCACACUGAAAGUAUGAACCACUGAUACAAUGGCUUUUCUCAGAGCUGGCUGAUAUUUUUCUGACCAAACUGUUUUUCAGCAAAAAUUUGGAUUUUUGACAGAGCACAUUGUGUUUUCUUUUUGGUUCAUGGAAAAAAAUGAUUUUUUUUGUUCAAAAAUCAAAUGCCUAAAAGCCUAGAUAUUCUGAAUGAAAAAUUUCCUAACUUUUGAGUGCUUGACUUUGCAUCCUUAAUAAUCUUUUAAUGUAGUUUUUUGAAUGUACUUAUGUAGUAUGGUAGGACAGUUGCUGCACAUUCUGAGGAAGAUCUGUGGCCCCUGCAGUGGCACCAAGGGGAUUUAAAGAUGCCUGAAGGAAACAGCUGAUGAUUGCCUUAAGGUAGAUCUACUCUGGACCUGUAGGUGUAAUUUCCAGCUCGGGUAGAUGUACCUACGCCAGCUCUGAGCCAGUUAGCCUGCUAAAAAUAGAAGUGUAGUUGCAGCAGCUUGAGUGUGAUCCUGUCUGAAAUGCUAGAUAGGUACUUGAGUGGCUAGCCUCUCCAGACCCUUGCACAGCCGCAACCGUAGUUCUAUUUUUAGAAUAGUAUUUGAUCAGAGCUAGCACAGGUGUAUUUACCUGAGCUGGAAAUUACAACUCCAACUCCAGUGUAGAAAUACCCUAAAAGUAGGGGUAUAGCCAGCCCUACAGCUCCCUCUUCUGGCUUCCUUUCCCUAGCGUAGGGGGCAUUACAAGACAGACUUUGGGUAUGACAGGGAGCAAUGAGUCCCAUCAGUAUUGCCAGUUAUAUUAUUUCUGUAUUUGGCAAUGGUGUGAUUACUGCUGGACUUCUGUUGGUGAGAAAAACAAGCUUUCAAGCAUACUCAGAGCCCUUCUUCGGGUCUGUGAAACUUACUUAUGGAAGUAAGUUGGGCUGUUAUGUCUUGGGUGAUUGGAAGACAGCACUAUGGGUAGAAGUAGAACUUAAGUAAGUAUUCCCAGACCUGAAGAAGAGCUCGGUGUAAGCUCAAAAGCUUGUCUCUCUCACCAACAGAAGCUGGUCCAGUAACAGAUAUUACCUCACUUCCCUUGUCUCUGUGUUAUUUGGAUCUGGCACUAGGAUUCCCAAGGAACUUAAAGCUAGAGCAAAUAUUUGAGGGACAUUGGCUGGAUGAAUAGUUUGGAUAUGGCUUAUACUAAGGCAGAGUUCUCAAAAUGGGGGGCAGAACACGGGAUACAUUGUGGGGGUGAGCUGCUUUAGGAAAAAAAAAUCUUACUGUGCACAUUUUACCAACAGCAAUGGGUAGCUACCAAACAAGCAAAGCUGAUUCCUCCAGACAUACCAGGUCUUCAGAGGGCGCUGUGCAUUUUGACAGAUUUCUGUUA